GAUUCCAAUAGCGCCUCCACGGCCUCCCAACUCCAAUGCCCACGCUCGCCUUCCACGGGAUGAACGCCGCCGUCUCCAACGCUUGCCCCUCCCUUGGAUCGCCACCACCAACCAUUACUGCUCACCAUGCGAAUCUGCCAUUCUUCCACAACAUGGACGAGCGCCUUCACAGAGUACCCCUACAACUCCUCAAGUCAGGCCACCGCCCCACGGAGGCGGUCGUCGUCGCCGUCCGCCGCUCCUCCACUCGGCUGCCGCCGCAAGGAUGCGGUCACUGCCGGCAUCUCCUGGAGCGUGGGCCGUCGCCGCCCACCGCUCGGCUGCUGCCCCAUGGACGUGCUCGCCCACACCCCUACAUCCGCUGGCCUCUCCUGGAGCGCGGUUCAUCGUUGCCGCCCGCCGCCGCCGUCGCCACACGCAGUGCAUUGAGGCCCUAGCCAUCAAGAGGCAUAUUUCCCCGUGAGAGGCUGGAGUAAGACAAGUUGCAGAGGGAGUUCAUCAUGUGCCGGGAUUGCUUGAAGCACGAUUCACUAAUAUGGAUGAGGCCUGGGGCAUCCUGCAAACUGGAAGCAAAGCCAAAGUUGUUGGUUCUACAAACGCUAACGAGCACAGCAGCCGGUCACACUGGUCGUUCGCCAGAUUUUCAUUCACUCGCACUAAGUUGCAGACCGUAAAAUCCCGCCCUCAUUAAUUUUCCAUACAGUAUAUAUUGUGUGAUGGUCAAAGGAGAAAACUUGAUGAAUGGAGAGCCAUAUCCGCUCUUGCAACUACAAGCCAGCACAUACCCUUCAGGAAUUCAAAGUUAACACACUUGCUGCAAAACUCACUAAGUGGAGACUCCUAAACUUUGAUGUUUAUUCAAGUUAGCCCAAACGAGAAUGACCUGGGCGAAACUCUCUGCUCUCUGAACUUUGCGAGCAGGGCGAGCGGGAUAGAGCUUGGACGGGCAAAUAAACAAGUUGAUGUUGGAGAACUGUCAAGAUAUAAGCUGAUGGUACUUGCUCUAUUGCCCUCCCUGUUAGUUCAUGCUUAGUACGAGUUUAGCAUCCAAUUCUGAAGAUUUCAUGGUAACUUGCAUCAGAGCUUUGCAUUCUAUGCCUGAAUACCUGACUGCAAAUAUGGCGUUGUAGAUAAAGAAAAUGCAUUGCCGCAUUGUUGACAUGAAAUCAGAAUAUUCUUGCUCUUUUUUUAUGCAGCAAAUGCUACUGAACAUGUUAGGAAGAGUCAUGUACUGAUUCAGAUUCUUUGGGAAGGACAAGAAUAUGGUAAGGAGAGUGAAGUUUAAAGAUGACUGCAAGCAAAGCUGCUGGUUGUACCUUUGUUUCGAUUUGGUCGCCCUUGAAUCGAAUAGUUCCUCCCUUUUAACGAAAUGCAUUUUUAGAUGCAACUCACCUAAAGUGUUAGACUAUGAAUAUUUUUCAUAUCGAUUUCAUUUUUUAUAUCCCAACUUAUACAUUUUUUAUACCACUUCCAUUUUGUACGAAUCCUUUAUUUUUUGUUGUGUUUGGGCCAGUCCAUUUUCAGAAUCAUCAUGCGCAUCAUGGUUGUGAAAUUGUUUGACUGGAAGGAUAAUAUGAUAUUAAAAUAUAGAUUUAACAAGAGGUUAUUGAGUGUGAGAGGAUGUAUACAGACUUAACAUUGUUUCUUGUUUAAUGAAGUUUUGAUUUGUUACUCGCAAAAAAAUGAAGUCUUGAUUUGUUGUCUUUAUUUUGCCACUGCAAAACAACUUUUCCUCCUACCAGGUAUGCUCCAGUGAGAAGGGUCAACAAGGUUUCACUACAAUUCUGUGCUUCGGAAAUGAUUUCAAACUUCCAAUCCCCGUAACAGUAAAGUGGGGCAACAAGGUUGACUUUAUUCUCAUGCGCAAAAAAAAAGGUUGACUUUAUUCUUACGCUGGAAAUAAAAAAUAUAUCGAGGUUGUGAUAUGGAUUCAAGAUGCAUGUUGAUUCACGAAGAUUGGUAAUUCCGAUUAUUUGUAUGAGUAAGGAAUUAGAUGCUAUCCAUUUCAUGUGAAAUUUGAAUCUUUAAACAAAUUUAUCAUAUAUUUAGUUAGGAUUUAUGAUGUUUGACAUAAUGUGCGUUACUUUAGACGUGCGUUGCACGUGCACACUUACUAGUGUAGGUAGUGGGUUAUUAGUGGCAUGGGUUUAGUUAGCUAGCUUCAUGCUAGAACUUGUUAGUACUAGUCCGUUGGACUAGGUGUUGCCGAGCCGGUGUGUUGGUUGCACAUAAAAAUGUCCUCAGCAACUACCAACUUUGUGAAUUUUAUUGGGUGUACUAAUGCAAGAAAUUGUGCAACACUUCUGGUGCGGCUGCGGCUACGGUGGCGUCAGGAGCACCGACGCAUGAAAGAGGCCGGGCCAUCAAUAGUUCAUCUGCACAGGGAGAAACUUAACGGCAUCUACCCAAGAUAAACGUGCAGCUCCAGCUAAGGUUUACAACCAUACGCGUGAAAAUCCAGCAAGGAAUACAAAUGACAAUGGGGAUGUCAACACGAACAGACCAACCAGAUAACAAGAGCAUAUGUGAUCCGGCUCACAAAUGAAUUUUUAAUCUAACCCUUUCUAUGGACUUGGCCUUCUCCAUGUGCAAAGUAGUGACACCUUAUAAUGAAGUAUUGUCACGCCCUCGUAAAAAUGAAGACUGUGAGCUACAUCCUAUCUCUCAAUCAAUGGGGAAUCUACCAUUCUCCCUGACGUCUCAUAUUCUAAUGGUUUUUAAUAUUCUUUUAGCUCACUUGCAUCCACUACUUAUCUCUAUGCGUCAAUUUCCGCCAAUUGAUAUUCAAAGUCAGUGCUAGCACGUAAAAAAGGAAGUCCUAAAAUGGUGAUUCUACACAUUCAAGGAAAGAAAGAACGUUG